UACGAGGGGGGCAAGCGUUGUUCGGAUUUAUUGGGCGUAAAGGGUGCGUAGGCGGUUUGGCAAGUCUUGUGUGAAAUCUUUGGGCUCAACCCAAAGUCUGCACAAGAAACUGCCGGGCUUGAGUAUGGGAGAGGUGAGUGGAAUUUCCGGUGUAGCGGUGAAAUGCGUAGAUAUAGGAAGGAACACCAGUGGCGAAGGCGACCACCUGGACUGAUACUGACACUGAGGUGCGAAAGCGUGGGGAGCGAACAGG
rnacentral:rRNA from 1 species